GCCUGGCUGGCUCAGUCAGUAGAGCACCUGACUCCAUCUCAGGGUCAUGGGUUCAAGCCCUACACUGGGCA
rnacentral:tRNA from 1 species